CCAGGCUGGAGUGCAGUGCUGUGAUCAUAGCUCACUGUAGCCUCAAAUUCCCGAUCUCAAGUAAUCCUCUCACCUCAGCCUACUGAGUAGCUGGGACUAUGGGAAGAAAAAGGGAGUCUCCAAGACAUCCACAUUUGAAUCCCUGGAACCUGUGAAUAUGUUACUUUAUAUGGCAAAAGGAACUUUGCAGGUGUGAGAACGGUUGAGGACCUUGAGAUGGGGAGAUCAUCCUGGAUUAUUUGAGUAAGCCCAACUUCAUCAAAUGAGUUCUUAGAAGAACCUUUCCUCUGAGAUGAGAGUCAGAGGGAGACGUGGCUAUGGAAGAAUGGUCAGAGAGCAAUGCAAAGUUGCUGGCUUUGAAGAUGGAAGAAGGGGCCAUGAGCCAAGAAAUAUGGUUGGUUUCUAGGAGCUGGAAGAGGCAAGAAGACAUAUUCUCCUCUAGACCCUCCAGAAGAAAUGCAGCCUCACUGACACCUUAAUUUUAGCCCUGAAAGACCCAUUUCAGAACUCUGACCUACAGAACUGUAAGAUGGAAAAAACAGUAUACCUAUAGGGUUUGGUACCAUUCCACAAUUUCAAGCAUCCACCGAGAGAUUUGGAACAUGUUCUUUGCAGAUAACAGGAGACUACUCUUAUCAACAAUGCUGUUUCAAAAUUGAUUAGUUCUCUGACUCGCCCACUGAAAUCAUCCAACCUAUUGAAAAAGCAGAAUGGGAUGUGGAUUAUAGGGUUUCAGAUAACACCAAGUCCCUAGUGAAAGAAACAAUCCUGAGAUUCACUCUGAACGCAAGCCUUUACUCAAGUCACGUGCUCAAGGCAGAGCCAAUCACUGAUUAGCUGGAUGGAAUGUGCUGAUUGGUUUAACAUAGGUUGCAUAUUUGACUCUUGGAGUUGGAGAUGAUAAGUGCUUCCCUUGAACCACCUGCAUCU